rnacentral:rRNA from 1 species
AGCGAACGCUGGCGGCAGGCCUAACACAUGCAAGUCGAACGGAUCCUUCGGGAUUAGUGGCGGACGGGUGAGUAACACGUGGGAACGUGCCCUUUGGUUCGGAACAACUCAGGGAAACUUGAGCUGAUACCGGAUGUGCCCUUCGGGGGAAAGAUUUAUCGCCAUUGGAGCGGCCCGCGUCUGAUUAGCUAGUUGGGGAGGUAACGGCCCACCAAGGCGACGAUCAGUAGCUGGUCUGAGAGGAUGAUCAGCCACACUGGGACGGAGACACGGCCCAGACUCCUACGGGAGGCAGCAGUGGGGAAUCUUGCGCAAUGGGCGAAGGCCUGACGCAGCCAUGCCGCGUGAAUGAUGAAGGUCUAAGGAUUGUAAAACUCUUUCAGCGGGGACGAUAUGACGGUACCCGCAGAAGAAGCUCCGGCUAACUUCGU